GAUCCUGAAAGCUUUUUGUGGAGGGAACCAGAGCGAUGCUAACUUCUGGGUUAGCCUACAAACAUUCGUCAUGGCUGCACCACUCUAUUCUGCUGCAUGUGAUUAGAGACACACUGAAGGGCCAAACAGCAACACACUGAAUCAGGCUGACCUCUGACCUCACAGUGAGACUUAGACUGUGUCCAUAUAAGAAAAGUAUGAAAAUAAGGUCACUCUUUAUAAAAACCAUCAUUAAUGAUUGGAGAAAUUACAGUAAAUUAAACUUUAGUUCAUGGUUAUUUAUCUUUUUCAACAUCAAUUUUCUCAUGUUUAUAUGUUUGUUUAUAUUUUCUGCAAAUCAAAGUAAAUAAUCAAACUCGUUGUUUUCAUGACUGAAUAAACUGAAAAGUUUUUGGGACACGCCCCCUUCUUCUUGCACGCGGCCUGUGCGUGCGCACGGCUCCUUUCAACGGGUCAAGCGCAAGUUCGGGAGCCAUUUUAAAUCAUCGUGUAGCUGCAGCUGUCAACUGUCACCGGAUUACUUGGACGUUUGAUGGACGAAAACUCCGGUCGCACUCGGGGAUCGACACUUUUUGCCUGCCAUGACGAUGACGCGCCAGAGAUGCAGCAGCUAACAUCAUGCAGUGACAGUCUUUACAACAUUUGCAGUAAAGCGUUGAGCAGAGAGAGUCUUCGGAGCAGCAUCUUGGGGAGACACAAAUUAACCCGGUGGCCUGCUCAACUACUGGAUGAUCAAACAGACGAGAAAACUGCCCUCCUGAAAGCUCUGCUGAAUCUAAAGGACGUGGAAAAUGACACCAUCGAGGUUCUCCUAAAUAUGGCUGAAAACACUGGAGAUUUAAAAAAAAAUCUGAUCAACGCAUCUUACACAGAAUAUAAACAAAUGUCAGCAGAUGUGUGA
rnacentral:lncRNA from 1 species